rnacentral:rRNA from 6 species
AAACUUUCAACAACGGAUCUCUUGGUUCUGGCAUCGAUGAAGAACGCAGCGAAAUGCGAUAAGUAAUGUGAAUUGCAGAAUUCAGUGAAUCAUCGAAUCUUUGAACGCACAUUGCGCCCGCCAGCACUCUGGCGGGCAUGCCUGUUCGAGCGUCAUU